UCCUGGUUAGCUCAGUUGGUAGAGUGCUCCACUGGAAAUGGAAAGACUCCUGGUUCGAUACCAGGACCUGGCG
rfam:Ixodes scapularis strain Wikel colony gcontig_1108379821026, whole genome shotgun sequence.